rnacentral:rRNA from 1 species
AAAUAGAUACCCAGGUAGUCCACGCCGUAAACGAUGUCGACUUGGAGGUUGUGCCCUUGAGGCGUGGCUUCCGGAGCUAACGCGUUAAGUCGACCGCCUGGGGAGUACGGCCGCAAGGUUAAAACUCAAAUGAAUUGACGGGGGCCCGCACAAGCGGUGGAGCAUGUGGUUUAAUUCGAUGCAACGCGAAGAACCUUACCUACUCUUGACAUCCAGAGAACUUAGCAGAGAUGCUUUGGUGCCUUCGGGAACUCUGAGACAGGUGCUGCAUGGCUGUCGUCAGCUCGUGUUGUGAAAUGUUGGGUUAAGUCCCGCAACGAGCGCAACCCUUAUCCUUUGUUGCCAGCGGUUCGGCCGGGAACUCAAAGGAGACUGCCAGUGAUAAACUGGAGGAAGGUGGGGAUGACGUCAAGUCAUCAUGGCCCUUACGAGUAGGGCUACACACGUGCUACAAUGGCAUAUACAAAGAGAAGCGACCUCGCGAGAGCAAGCGGACCUCAUAAAGUAUGUCGUAGUCGGAUUGGAU